rnacentral:rRNA from 1 species
AGCGAACGCUGGCGGCAGGCUUAACACAUGCAAGUCGAGCGGGCGUAGCAAUACGUCAGCGGCAGACGGGUGAGUAACGCGUGGGAACGUACCUUUUGGUUCGGAACAACACAGGGAAACUUGUGCUAAUACCGGAUAAGCCCUUACGGGGAAAGAUUUAUCGCCGAAAGAUCGGCCCGCGUCUGAUUAGCUAGUUGGUGAGGUAACGGCUCACCAAGGCGACGAUCAGUAGCUGGUCUGAGAGGAUGAUCAGCCACAUUGGGACUGAGACACGGCCCAAACUCCUACGGGAGGCAGCAGUGGGGAAUAUUGGACAAUGGGCGCAAGCCUGAUCCAGCCAUGCCGCGUGAGUGAUGAAGGCCCUAGGGUUGUAAACUUCUUUUGUACGGAAAAACCCUCUACGUGUAGAGGGCUGAUUGUACCGUAAGAAUAAGGAUCGGCUAACUCCGUGCCAGCCGCCGCGGU